AUUUCUGGUUUGGAGAUAUAAAAUCUGGUCAGCAAGAUGUGCAAUUCUCUGCAAUGUCUGGAUCAAUAAGGUAUCUAUCUAAAGCAUGAAUAGACUGAUACGGUAUAAGGGAGAUCAUGCGAAAGCACGCUAAGGGGACGAAAAAUACAGUACAAGACAAACUUUCCGUGUUUCUCCUUCCUGAGGAUCCGUGCUGCUGCAUUGUGAACAAGUGGUGGGGAUUUAUUGUUUGGCACUUGGUCCCAAAGGAUGGAGAGAGUUUGAGUAAGGGAGAAGUAACUGGGUGAGGUCUCUGUAACAGUUAGGUCAGGGUGAGUGAAAAACAAUUUCUCAGUUAUAGACGAGGACUGGCUGGAUUAAAGGAUAUACAGGAAUCAUAUUUCCAUGCUGGUCUGUCAGAAUGUAAGAUGAUUGAAGUCCCUGAUUAAAGUGUAGGACGAUCAUUAAGUUGAGUGCUUUAGAAGUUUUUGAGGGUUUCAGAAGAUCUAUUCCAAGCUACAAGAGGACAUGUUUUGUCUCUUGGAGUCACAAAUAGACGCUGUGGCCCUUUGCUCUGUUUGCUGUUUCCAUAAAAGAAAUAGGCAAUCAUGUAAUAAAUACGUGCCCUGCGGUCUGUCAAAUUACUUGUUUAAAAUUAGGCUUCCUGGAAAAAGUGAACCACUUGUUUUCAGAGCUCUGUGUGUUCUUUGUUUAAGGGAGCUGUUAGAAACAUACUGUAGAUAACUCAUUGUUUAGAUGACCCGUUUCACAUGAGCUUGCUGGAGUUUAAAAUAUUAAAUAUCAGUUUGAGCUGUCUGUCUGUGGGCCCCUCACUAUGCAGCUGAACAAGUGUCGAAGGAGGCAGGAAACAGUUGGAGGAAAUAAACUAAAACAUCCUGGAUAUCCCUUCCUUCUUACCAUGGUACUGUAGAUAAGAGCAGAGCACAGCCCCUCUGUCUCGGUUUGCAGGAACCAUUCACAGCUUAAAUAUCACGUAAUGUAAGAUAAGACCGUCCAACAGUCAUAUCCCAUGUUUCUUACCUAGGCUUAAUAGAUAAGUACAACAAAGUACUGUAGAUCACCCCUGAUACACAUAAGUAUAUCAAAUAAAUUAUUUUGUUUUUAAUCUACUGUAGUGAAAGUUAAAGAAUUCUCUCUGGAGUAUGGCCUUGGUCUAGGUUUUCAUGGUUUGCUGAACACAAUGAGGAACAGACUGACGGAAAGGAAGAACAGAGUGAAAGAAAGAGCCAACAAGGAAACAACAGACCAAAAACAAGAGAGCAGUUCCGUGAGUGUGCUGUGGACCUCCUUACCUAUGCACACCUGAGAGUCAGGGCUCUGGAGGAGGGCAGUGCCACUACUACGGCCCCAGAGGAGAUCAGGGCCACCAGAAAACUAAAUCAGGUGGAGCCUGUGUGACCCUUAACUGCUUGUGUGACAUCUGCCAGCAUGCACAACUAGUCCAACUGCUACGCAGUUACACUCCUAAAGGUCACUCUCAAUCCAGAUCUGCUGGUUUGCGAAUCUGAAUCAGAGGAGGGCAGGAAUGGGGGAGUGUCAUCAGACAGUGUCAGAAGGUCACGACCACUGAUCUUCUGGCCCUACAUCUUAUCAGUCACAUGUUUACGCAAAGCUGAUUCCAUUCCAGAGGACCCUUCGCACUCUUCCUUUAAGAACAUCCGAUUACUCCCCUCUGAACAGCUACUGACUUCACCCUCUGAAAACAAACAAGUUUUCAUUUAGACCUCACCCUGCUCAGCAGGUGAUUCUCUCGGACAUGUAAACAGUAUGUGUGUUGUUUAUUUGUGUGUUUUUCUUUAUUUUGUUUGCUGCUGUAAAACAAAUUGGCCCCUGGGGAUAAUAAAGACUGUCUCCCUAAUGAAAGAAGCCACUGUAACAGCUUGAGAAUAAUGGGAGGAUAGUUUGUUUCAUACUUACACAACCCUUUGUGUAAAUCAG